rnacentral:lncRNA from 1 species
UGGUGAAGAUAGGAAAAGAGUCCAGGAGCCAGUGCGAUUUGGUGAAGGAAGCUAGGAAGAAGGAAGGAGCGCUAACGAUUUGGUGGUGAAGCUAGGAAAAAGGAUUCCAGGAAGGAGCGAGUGCAAUUUGGUGAUGAAGGUAGCAGGCGGCUUGGCUUGGCAACCACACGGAGGAGGCGAGCAGGCGUUGUGCGUAGAGGAUCCUAGACCAGCAUGCCAGUGUGCCAAGGCCACAGGGAAAGCGAGUGGUUGGUAAAAAUCCGUGAGGUCGGCAAUAUGUUGUUUUUCUGGAACUUACUUAUGGUAACCUUUUAUUUAUUUUCUAAUAUAAUGGGGGAGUUUCGUACUGAGGUGUAAAGGGAUUUAUAUGGGGACGUAGGCCGAUUUCCGGGUGUUGUAGGUUUCUCUUUUUCAGGCUUAUACUCAUGAAUCUUGUCUGAAGCUUUUGAGGGCAGACUGCCAAGUCCUGGAGAAAUAGUAGAUGGCAAGUUUGUGGGUUUUUUUUUUUUACACGAAUUUGAGGAAAACCAAAUGAAUUUGAUAGCCAAAUUGAGACAAUUUCAGCAAAUCUGUAAGCAGUUUGUAUGUUUAGUUGGGGUAAUGAAGUAUUUCAGUUUUGUGAAUAGAUGACCUGUUUUUACUUCCUCACCCUGAAUUCGUUUUGUAAAUGUAGAGUUUGGAUGUGUAACUGAGGCGGGGGGGAGUUUUCAGUAUUUUUUUUUGUGGGGGUGGGGGCAAAAUAUGUUUUCAGUUCUUUUUCCCUUAGGUCUGUCUAGAAUCCUAAAGGCAAAUGACUCAAGGUGUAACAGAAAACAAGAAAAUCCAAUAUCAGGAUAAUCAGACCACCACAGGUUUACAGUUUAUAGAAACUAGAGCAGUUCUCACGUUGAGGUCUGUGGAAGAGAUGUCCAUUGGAGAAAUGGCUGGUAGUUACUCUUUUUUCCCCCCACCCCCUUAAUCAGACUUUAAAAGUGCUUAACCCCUUAAACUUGUUAUUUUUUACUUGAAGCAUUUUGGGAUGGUCUUAACAGGGAAGAGAGAGGGUGGGGGAGAAAAUGUUUUUUUCUAAGAUUUUCCACAGAUGCUAUAGUACUAUUGACAAACUGGGUUAGAGAAGGAGUGUACCGCUGUGCUGUUGGCACGAACACCUUCAGGGACUGGAGCUGCUUUUAUCCUUGGAAGAGUAUUCCCAGUUGAAGCUGAAAAGUACAGCACAGUGCAGCUUUGGUUCAUAUUCAGUCAUCUCAGGAGAACUUCAGAAGAGCUUGAGUAGGCCAAAUGUUGAAGUUAAGUUUUCCAAUAAUGUGACUUCUUAAAAGUUUUAUUAAAGGGGAGGGGCAAAUAUUGGCAAUUAGUUGGCAGUGGCCUGUUACGGUUGGGAUUGGUGGGGUGGGUUUAGGUAAUUGUUUAGUUUAUGAUUGCAGAUAAACUCAUGCCAGAGAACUUAAAGUCUUAGAAUGGAAAAAGUAAAGAAAUAUCAACUUCCAAGUUGGCAAGUAACUCCCAAUGAUUUAGUUUUUUUCCCCCCAGUUUGAAUUGGGAAGCUGGGGGAAGUUAAAUAUGAGCCACUGGGUGUACCAGUGCAUUAAUUUGGGCAAGGAAAGUGUCAUAAUUUGAUACUGUAUCUGUUUUCCUUCAAAGUAUAGAGCUUUUGGGGAAGGAAAGUAUUGAACUGGGGGUUGGUCUGGCCUACUGGGCUGACAUUAACUACAAUUAUGGGAAAUGCAAAAGUUGUUUGGAUAUGGUAGUGUGUGGUUCUCUUUUGGAAUUUUUUUCAGGUGAUUUAAUAAUAAUUUAAAACUACUAUAGAAACUGCAGAGCAAAGGAAGUGGCUUAAUGAUCCUGAAGGGAUUUCUUCUGAUGGUAGCUUUUGUAUUAUCAAGUAAGAUUCUAUUUUCAGUUGUGUGUAAGCAAGUUUUUUUUUAGUGUAGGAGAAAUACUUUUCCAUUGUUUAACUGCAAAACAAGAUGUUAAGGUAUGCUUCAAAAAUUUUGUAAAUUGUUUAUUUUAAACUUAUCUGUUUGUAAAUUGUAACUGAUUAAGAAUUGUGAUAGUUCAGCUUGAAUGUCUCUUAGAGGGUGGGCUUUUGUUGAUGAGGGAGGGGAAACUUUUUUUUUUUCUAUAGACUUUUUUCAGAUAACAUCUUCUGAGUCAUAACCAGCCUGGCAGUAUGAUGGCCUAGAUGCAGAGAAAACAGCUCCUUGGUGAAUUGAUAAGUAAAGGCAGAAAAGAUUAUAUGUCAUACCUCCAUUGGGGAAUAAGCAUAACCCUGAGAUUCUUACUACUGAUGAGAACAUUAUCUGCAUAUGCCAAAAAAUUUUAAGCAAAUGAAAGCUACCAAUUUAAAGUUACGGAAUCUACCAUUUUAAAGUUAAUUGCUUGUCAAGCUAUAACCACAAAAAUAAUGAAUUGAUGAGAAAUACAAUGAAGAGGCAAUGUCCAUCUCAAAAUACUGCUUUUACAAAAGCAGAAUAAAAGCGAAAAGAAAUGAAAAUGUUACACUACAUUAAUCCUGGAAUAAAAGAAGCCGAAAUAAAUGAGAGAUGAGUUGGGAUCAAGUGGAUUGAGGAGGCUGUGCUGUGUGCCAAUGUUUCGUUUGCCUCAGACAGGUAUCUCUUCGUUAUCAGAAGAGUUGCUUCAUUUCAUCUGGGAGCAGAAAACAGCAGGCAGCUGUUAACAGAUAAGUUUAACUUGCAUCUGCAGUAUUGCAUGUUAGGGAUAAGUGCUUAUUUUUAAGAGCUGUGGAGUUCUUAAAUAUCAACCAUGGCACUUUCUCCUGACCCCUUCCCUAGGGGAUUUCAGGAUUGAGAAAUUUUUCCAUCGAGCCUUUUUAAAAUUGUAGGACUUGUUCCUGUGGGCUUCAGUGAUGGGAUAGUACACUUCACUCAGAGGCAUUUGCAUCUUUAAAUAAUUUCUUAAAAGCCUCUAAAGUGAUCAGUGCCUUGAUGCCAACUAAGGAAAUUUGUUUAGCAUUGAAUCUCUGAAGGCUCUAUGAAAGGAAUAGCAUGAUGUGCUGUUAGAAUCAGAUGUUACUGCUAAAAUUUACAUGUUGUGAUGUAAAUUGUGUAGAAAACCAUUAAAUCAUUCAAAAUAAUAAACUAUUUUUAUUAGAGAAUGUAUACUUUUAGAAAGCUGUCUCCUUAUUUAAAUAAAAUAGUGUUUGUCUGUAGUUCAGUGUUGGGGCAAUCUUGGGGGGGAUUCUUCUCUAAUCUUUCAGAAACUUUGUCUGCGAACACUCUUUAAUGGACCAGAUCAGGAUUUGAGCGGAAGAACGAAUGUAACUUUAAGGCAGGAAAGACAAAUUUUAUUCUUCAUAAAGUGAUGAGCAUAUAAUAAUUCCAGGCACAUGGCAAUAGAGGCCCUCUAAAUAAGGAAUAAAUAACCUCUUAGACAGGUGGGAGGUAACAGCACAAUAUCUUUGAACUAUAUACAUCCUUGAUGUAUAAUUUGUCAGGAGCUUGACUUGAUUGUAUAUUCAUAUUUACACGAGAACCUAAUAUAACUGCCUUGUCUUUUUCAGGUAAUAGCCUGCAGCUGGUGUUUUGAGAAGCCCUACUGCUGAAAAC